rnacentral:rRNA from 1 species
CUAGCUACAGGCUUAACACAUGCAAGUCGAGGGGCAGCAUUUUAGUUUGCUUGCAAACUGAAGAUGGCGACCGGCGCACGGGUGAGUAACACGUAUCCAACCUGCCGAUAACUCCGGAAUAGCCUUUCGAAAGAAAGAUUAAUACCGGAUGGCAUACGAAUAUCGCAUGAUAUUUUUAUUAAAGAAUUUCGGUUAUCGAUGGGGAUGCGUUCCAUUAGUUUGUUGGCGGGGUAAC